rnacentral:rRNA from 1 species
GCAAGUCGAGGGGUACAGAGUAGCUUGCUACUGCUGACGAUCGGCGCCCGGGUGCUAACGCGUAUACAAUUUGCCUUAUACUGGAGGAUAGCCCGGAGAAAUCCGGAUUAAUACUCCAUAACAUUAUGAAUUCGCAUGUUUUUAUAAUUAAAGCUUCGGUGGUAUAAGAUGAGUAUGCGUCCUAUUAGUUUGUUGGUAAGGUAACGGCCUACCAAGACUACGAUAGGUAGGGGGCCUGAGAGGGUUAUC